rnacentral:rRNA from 1 species
UACGAAGGGGGCUAGCGUUGCUCGGAAUCACUGGGCGUAAAGCGCACGUAGGCGGAUUCUUAAGUCAGGGGUGAAAUCCUGGAGCUCAACUCCAGAACUGCCUUUGAUACUGAGGGUCUUGAGUUCGGGAGAGGUGAGUGGAACUGCGAGUGUAGAGGUGAAAUUCGUAGAUAUUAGGAAGAACACCAGUGGCGAAGGCGGCUCACUGGCCCAUAACUGACGCUGAGGCACGAAAGCGUGGGGAGCAAACAGG